AAGCUAACGCUUGAAUACAUUAGCAUGGAAUAAUGAAUAGGACGUUUGAUCCUAUUUAGUUGGUUUCUUAGGAUUGACGUAAUGAUUAAUAGGGAUAGUUGGGGGCGAUUAGUAUUCAAUUGUCAGAGGUGAAAUUCUUGGAUUUAUUGAAGACUAACUACUGCGAAAGCAUUUGCCAAGGAUGUUUUCAUUAAUCAAGAACGAAAGUUAGGGGAUCGAAGACGAUCAGAUACCGUCGUAGUCUUAACCAUAAACUAUGCCGACUAGGGAUCGGAUGAUGUUAAUUUUUUAAUGACUCAUUCGGCGCCUUACG
rnacentral:rRNA from 1 species